GUUCCUGCUCCGGAUGUGGGCCUCUGUCCCUGCCACUCCUGGCAGGCCUGGUGGCUGCAGAUGCGGUCAUGUCACUUCUAAUAGUGGGGGUGGUGUUUGUAUGUAUGCGCCUACACAGCAGGCCUGCCCAAGAAGAUGGUCGAGUCUACAUCAACAUGCCUGGGAGAGGCUGACAGCUGCACCUUCCACUUUUGUCUUCCAACCAUCCUCGAUCGCACGAGGGUGGGGUAGGGAGCGUGGGAACGCAUUUUCUUCCGGACUAGAAUAAAGCGAUUCAAAUACCU